rnacentral:tRNA from 1 species
GGGGUUAUGGCUCAGUGGUAGAGCACUCGCCUCACAUGUGUGAGACCCUGGGUUCAAUGCUCAGUACCA